AUUAAAGAGAGUUUGAUCCUGGCUCAGGACGAACGCUGGCGGCGUGCCUAAUACAUGCAAGUAGAACGCUGAGAACUGGUGCUUGCACCGGUUCAAGGAGUUGCGAACGGGUGAGUAACGCGUAGGUAACCUACCUCAUAGCGGGGGAUAACUAUUGGAAACGAUAGCUAAUACCGCAUAAGAGAGACUAACGCAUGUUAGUAAUUUAAAAGGGGCAAUUGCUCCACUAUGAGAUGGACCUGCGUUGUAUUAGCUAGUUGGUGAGGUAAAGGCUCACCAAGGCGACGAUACAUAGCCGACCUGAGAGGGUGAUCGGCCACACUGGGACUGAGACACGGCCCAGACUCCUACGGGGGGCAGCAG
rnacentral:rRNA from 1 species